rnacentral:lncRNA from 1 species
AGGCUCUGCGGAGAGCGGCUGCCACUCGCCUCUGUUUUUUUCUUGAGACCUAGUCUGGCUCUGUGGCUCAGGCUGGAGUGCAGUGGCGUGAUCACCGCUCACUGCAGCCUCAGCCUCCUCUCGCCUCAGCCGCUCGGUAGCUGGGACCACCAGCGGGCGCCACCACUCCCGGCUACAUUUUUUUGUAUUUUUAGUAGAGACGUGGGUCUCGCCAUGUUGGCUAGGCUGCUGCCGAACUCCGGGGCUCAAGCGAUCCGCCCGCCUGGGCCUCCCAAAGUGCUGAGACUGCAGGCAUGAGCCACCGCGCCCGGCCGAGAGCCUCUUUUGGCUCCUCCUUUCGCCUUUCCGGGGCCAGGCGUGUGCAGCUCUGUGAAGGGUCCCCUCCCUCUGCGGGACGUCCUCGCUGCCGAGGUCAGAGGUGCGGAGAACAUGAGACCCGAGGUCUCAACUGCUUCUUACCAAUAUUAAUUCCAGUGACUACUAUCAGAAUAUGAUGAGCAAUCCACUCAUCAGAGAAGCUGUUUCUACACUCUCCUGAAUGACCAUUUUAUAGAUGCUGGGAAAAAAUUGUAUUAAAGACUAUGAGUUAGCUGGGCUUGGUGGCUCACGCCUGUAAUCCCAGCACUUUGUGAAGCCAAGGCGGGAGCAUCGAUUGAGCCUAGCAGUUCAAGACCAACCUUGGCGGCAUAAGCGAGACCCUGUCUCUACAAAAAUUUUAAAAUUAGCCAGGUGUGGUGGUGUGCACCUAUAAUCUUAGCUACUUGGGAAGCUGAGGUGGGAGGAUUACUCAGCCUAGGAGGUUGAGGUUACAGUGAGCUGGGAUCACACCACUGCCCUUCAGCCUGGGUGACAGAGCAGGACCCCGUCUCUUA